rnacentral:sRNA from 1 species
ACAGCUGCUCAUCAUACUGGACUAAUCAGGUCAAGGACAUGGGGCUUCAUUCUAGGUAACUCAGCUGACAUCUUCAUUAUAAAACCACACAUUUUCCUCUGACUCUGGGCAAUGACCUGCAUAUAUAAGCUGUUAGUCAUAAGGGCUGGAUGGGGCAGCAUCUCAAUCAUAUAGGGCACAGGACAAACCUCAGUAUCGCCAGCAAGAAUCCAUUACAGUUCAACAUGUAGUACCUCCAGACCUUUUCCCUGUGCCCCUGGACACCAAGGUCCAUCCCACCCUCAGCUGUCCAUCUUCUAGAGCAGGCGGUCUAGCCUCCCCAAACCAGAAGAACUUCCUUUUUAUAUUCAACCACCUGAUGGAUGUCCCUGAUCAGGUCCCUCAGCUGCAGAGCACAAGAAGGACCUUCAGGAUCCAGCUUUCUGUGAUGAGACUGAGGCCAAAGAAGAAGGAAAAAGGAGAUGUUCAGGAUCACGCAAUGAUUUGUGGCAAAACCCCAGCUAUUAAUAUAACACCUAUACAACUUCUAGACCAGUGCUUUUUCCACUUGAAAGGCCUUGUUAUCUGAGUUUUGUUUUUUGUUUUUUUUCUGAGACAGAAUCUCACUCUGUCGCCCAGGCUGGAGUGCAGUGACGCGAUCUUGGCUCACUACAACCUCCGCCUCCCGGGUUCAAGCGAUUCUCCUGCCUCAGCCUCCUGAGCAGCUGGGACUACAGGCACACGCUACCAUGCCCAGCUAAUUUUUGUAUUUUUGGUAGAGACGGGG